GCUGGUGCCUUCCUUCCUGGUGAGGUUCUCGUCGAAGUUCUUGCAGCCUUCGCUGGCUUUUCCUUAGCUUUCGGCUUGGGAGCGGCUUUAGUCUUUGCCGCAGCUUUGGGCUUCGCCACAGCACUGCUCUUCGACUUGGCUGGAGCAGCUUUGGGUUUAGGAGCAGCUUUGGGCUUGGGAGUCGCCUUAGGCUUCGGCUUUGCAGCAGCCUUCGGCUUCGCAGGAGAUUUUGCAACAGCUUUGGGCUUAGCUACGGGUUUAGACUUCGGCUUAGCAGCUACAGGCUUCUUCUUCGCAGGAGAAGCAG
rnacentral:lncRNA from 1 species